rnacentral:rRNA from 1 species
AUGACCUCGAGGCGCGAACAUGAGGAUAUGGUAUUCGGAAUCACCCCUGUGAUGGAAUUCAUGCUAAGGUCUAUGACCUUGAGGCGUGAACAUGACGAUAUGGUAGUCGGAAUCACCCCCGUGAUUGAAUUCAUCCUAAGGUUGAUGACCUCGAGGAGGGUGCAUUACGAUAUGCUAUUUGGAAUCAUCCCUGUAAUGGAAUUCAUGCUAAGGUUGAGGUACCUGAGUUGGGUUAGGCGGCUUAUCUCGGGAGGUAUGUGGCCAUUGAUUUGGUUGUCUGCCAUGUGGAUUUCAUGGAGCAAAAGAAGGUCAGAAAUGCAAGGAAAUAUUUGGCCGGUGAUGUUCAAAGAAUCAAGAUCAAGGGAAACAACACGAGCUGCAUGCACAGUACUGCAUGUCACCCCUCGCCAAUCACAGAACGCGAAUGACUCAUUUCUCCAUGAGUCUAAUGCUCCGGCAGGGUCAGAGAGGUGUGACCUUAGACACAACAGGACAUGCCUAUCGGUUUCGGAUGCAUUGUGGAGUGCAGGUGUGGCUAAGGAGCAGGCACGGGGACAGAAGCUCACCAAGCAGAUGAGCGUUGCAGCAAGAAGUGGCAGCAACUUGUUUCGAGCUCCUACUUCACCCAUCUUGUGUAUGCUGGUAGAUGUUAGGAGAUUUGUGUUUGUGAUCGUUUAG